rnacentral:lncRNA from 1 species
UCGACCUAAACAAGGACUAUUUCACUUUAACUCUCUCGAGCUUAAAGCGUGACUAACGGUACGAAUUCUCCAAGAAGUUAGUCCAGGUACGGCACUAGCUUUUAAAGUGUGUCCUACUCCCUUGACAUUAUCUCUUUUCCAGACAAAUAACUUUUCUCUCGAACAAGUCAGAUGUUAGACUGGCGUUGGUCUAUGCGUCUUCUUUUCUAGACAAAUAACCUUUCUCUCGAACAGGUUAGAUGUUAGAAUGGCGUGUUCUUGUGUUUGAACCGCAAAGAAUGUAGAUUUAAGAUGAAGAGAAUAAUGAUAUAAGCAAUAUACUUGUCUUGAACUCACAAACUCAUAGCUAUAGAUAGUAACUCAUUCGGCUUCCAUAACCCCAACUAAGAGAUUU